AUGACCCAGCCAGGCCAGGUCCUCCACCUCUACCUGGAAGUGCGCUCCCCAGGAGGAGGAGGAGAUGAGCAGUCAAAUCCUCGGAUGCUCCAAGGUCCUAGCCCCCCCCCCCCCUCUCGCCGGACCCCCCCCCAUGGACCGCCCCCCCGCCCCAGGACCAGCAGAGAUCCCAGCUCCCUUCCCCCGGACCCCUUGGACCCCCAGCACCCGGGAGCCCCCCAGCACCCGGGAGCCCCCCCUACGGAUCUGCCCCCCCCCCAGAGCCGGCGCUGCCAGGACCCGGACCGGACAAGACUCCUCACCCCUCCAGAGCCCCUCCCCCCCCGGGGAGGCCCCGGUCCGGGGCGAGGGAUGCUGUCGGCCCCGCCCGCCUCCCCCAGGCCACGUCCUGAGGCGGGCCAGCGGUCUGUGGUGACCUUCAGCUACGUGCAGAAGGCCAACGUCCAGAGCCUGGACCCCCCCGGGACCCGGGACCCCCCCAGGACCCGGGACCCCCCCGGGACCCACGACCACCCCGAUUCCCGUGACCGGCCCGGGAUAAGGGACCCCCCCUGGACCCUAGACCGGCCUGGGACCCGGGACCCCCCCGGGACCCAGGACUACCCAGAUUCCCGGGACCGGCCCGGGACCCAGGACUACCCCGAUUCCCGGGACCGGCCCGGGACCAGGGACUGCCCUGGGACCCGGGAGCCGAGGUGGACGGCCGACCGGACGGACCCCCCCUCGCCGUGGGGGGGGGAGGAGCCUGACAGGAUGGACCCCCCCUGGUGCCAGACCCCCCAUGGCUCCCCCAAUCGCAGCCGGACCGGCCCGGAGCCCCCACGGACCCCAGAGGAUGGGGGCUCCCCUGCCCCCCGGCGUGGGCCGGCCGGCCCAUGUCCGGGGGGCCACAGCCCCAGUCUGCCCCGACAGCCGGUGUCCCCCUGCGGAGGGUCCUGGGCCGGGUCCGGGUCCGGGUCCUGGUCCGGGUCCUGGGCUAGGGGCCCGGUCUCCCCGCGGGCCGCCCGCACCCUGCCCUGCAGACCCCCAGCCCAGGUCCCCGAUCCGGCGAGCAGCAGCUGGUCCGGGGGGCCUCAAAGGAGCCCCAUGCUGGACCGCUCCUCCUCCCCUGCCAGGAGGUCCCAGAACCAGGACCCCCCACCGCCCUGGCUGGGGGACGAGAGCCCCCGCUUAUCCAGCCGCUACCGACCCCCGUUGCAUGCUGGGAGGCCCACUGACAUCCAGCACCACAUCCCUGCUAGCACUAGCACUAGCUACCAUAGUAGCCCCCCCUGCAGCAUUAGCCCCAAUGCUAGCCCAACGUUCAGCACUAGCUACCAUGCUAGCCCCCCCCGCAGCAUUAGCCCCCAUGCUAGCCCAACGUUCAGCACAAGCUACUAUGCUAGCCCCCCGUUAGUCACUAGCUACCAUGCUAGCCCACCGUUUAGCACUAGCUACCAUUCUAAUCCACCGUUAGGAGCUAGCUACCAUGCUAGCCACCAUGCUAGCCCCCCCUGCAGGACGAGCUACCAUCUUAGCGACACCAGCAUGGCCUUGAGUCACAGCGCUCACAAUGAUCGCAGCACUGGUAACAAUAACAUGCACCAACAUGCUAGGAAUAGCAUGCAUCCUAGUGCUAGCAGUAGCCCUCACAGGUCAGUCUAUUCACCCCAAGGCUACGGCAUCGCUAGCGAUGCUAGCAAUGCUAGCAGUGCUAGAAGACCAUCUGCUAGCAGCCGGAGCAGCUCCCCCGCUAGGAGCCCUGAAGUAGCUCGUAGGCUAGCUAACAGGCUAGCCCUGGAGGCAUCCCGGUCCUCCCUGUUCACCGAGCGCCGCAGCCCCCCCCCUGAAGACCCACCGCCUGACGGCCCCCUGGUGGAGGGGCUCAUUCACGGAACAACCUCGCCCUGGGCCUCCCCCCCCGCCACCCCCCAGGACCCGGCCCCCCUGCUGAGAGCAGAACCAGACCGUUUGGGACGUGGGGGCACCCUCUGUCCAGUGGGGGGAGGCCAGGACCCCUGGAACCGGCACCCCGCCCCCUCCAGCCCCGCCCCCUCCAGCCCCGCCCCUUCAGGCCACGCCCCCUCGAGCCAUGCCCCUUCAGGCCACGCCAAUUCAGCCCUUCAGCCUCCUCAGUUCAGGGGGGAGGGGGGCUCCAGGAGGCUGCUGACCCCUAGAGAAGAGGCUCCUCCAGGGGGCCCCUCCCCCCGAGACCUGGACCCGGGGACCCCCCCGGAAUCCCGAGGGGGGGCGGGGCCCUCUCCUCACACAGAGGAGGGGGACGGAGGAGGAGGAGCGGAGGGGCGGAGGAGAGGGGCGGGGUCCUCCUCCCAGAGCUCCAGCGGGGUGACGGGCAGCGUGUCCGGCAGCGGGGGGGGCAGCGGAGGGGGCGGGGCCAGCGGGGGAGGCGGGGCCUCCCAGACGGACGCGGAGGGCAGUCUGUCCCCAGAAAGCUGCAGCCAGUCCAGUCAGCGGAGCGACACGCCCACAACACCACAGGUGGGGCGGGGUCUAUGUUAA
rnacentral:lncRNA from 1 species